AGAUUGUGAAAGGCUGGGUUAAGCAAUUGACACGCCAGAGAGGAUACACCGAUCAGAUGGUUGAAGAAGCUAAUGCUGUCCUCUACACUUUUGGUUCCUAUCGACUUGGGGUACAUGGUCCUGGCUCUGACAUUGAUACUCUGUGUGUUGGACCUUCUUAUGUUAAUCGCGAGGAGGACUUUUUCAUGGUAUUGCACGACACGUUGGCUCAGAUGGAAGAAGUUUCUGAAUUACAGCCUGUACCUGACGCCCACGUGCCUGUAAUGAAGUUCAAAUUCCGUGGGAUUUCUAUUGAUCUUCUCUAUGCCAGUAUUUCUCUUCUUGUAGUUCCUCAAG
rnacentral:misc_RNA from 1 species